rnacentral:rRNA from 1 species
CCUACGGGGGGCUGCAGUGGGGAAUAUUGCACAAUGGGCGCAAGCCUGAUGCAGCCAUGCCGCGUGUGUGAAGAAGGCCUUCGGGUUGUAAAGCACUUUCAGCGGGGAGGAAGGCGUUAAGGUUAAUAACCUUGGCGAUUGACGUUACCCGCAGAAGAAGCACCGGCUAACUCCGUGCCAGCAGCCGCGGUAAUACGGAGGGUGCAAGCGUUAAUCGGAAUUACUGGGCGUAAAGCGCACGCAGGCGGUCUGUCAAGUCGGAUGUGAAAUCCCCGGGCUCAACUUGGGAACUGCAUUCGAAACUGGCAGGCUAGAGUCUUGUAGAGGGGGGUAGAAUUCCAGGUGUAGCGGUGAAAUGCGUAGAGAUCUGGAGGAAUACCGGUGGCGAAGGCGGCCCCCUGGACAAAGACUGACGCUCAGGUGCGAAAGCGUGGGGAGCAAACAGGAUUAGAUACCCCGGUAGUC